GACGAACGCUGGCGGCGUGCCUAACACAUGCAAGUCGAACGGAAAGGCGCGGCUUUUCUGGCGUGCUCGAGUGGCGAACGGGUGAGUAACACGUGAGUAACCUGCCCUUGACUUUGGGAUAACUUCAGGAAACUGCGGCUAAUACCGGAUAGGAGCUCCUGCUGCAUGGUGGGGGUUGGAAAGUGUCGGCGGUUGUGGAUGGACGCGCGGCUUAUCAGCUUGUUGGUGGGGUAGUGGCUUACCAAGGCUUUGACGGGUAGUCGGCCUGAGAGGGUGAGCGGACCCAUUGGGAUGGAGAUACGGCCCAGCCUCCUACGGGAGGUAGCGGGGGAGAAUAGAGCACAACCGGCGGAGGCCUGACCCAGCAACGCCGCGCGCGGGAUGAGCGCAGUCGCGUCGGAUGCCGCUGUCGCCUGUGACGAAGCGUGAGUGACGGUAAUGGGUAAAGAAGCACCGGCUAACUACGUG
rnacentral:rRNA from 1 species